rnacentral:snoRNA from 1 species
AAUCUGUGUUAUGGGCAUUGACAGAGUAAACCUUUGUAUAGUUCCCAAGCCUCUAAAUAGCAUUUUGAAUCCAAUUGUUGAAAAUGUGAUCUCGUCCCUUAGCUU